GAGUUUGAUCAUGGCUCAGGAUGAACGCUGGCGGCGUGCCUAAUACAUGCAAGUCGAGCGAAUGGAUUGAGAGCUUGCUCUCAAGAAGUUAGCGGCGGACGGGUGAGUAACACGUGGGUAACCUGCCCAUAAGACUGGGAUAACUCCGGGAAACCGGGGCUAAUACCGGAUAACAUUUUGAACUGCAUGGUUCGAAAUUGAAAGGCGGCUUCGGCUGUCACUUAUGGAUGGACCCGCGUCGCAUUAGCUAGUUGGUGAGGUAACGGCUCACCAAGGCAACGAUGCGUAGCCGACCUGAGAGGGUGAUCGGCCACACUGGGACUGAGACACGGCCCAGACUCCUACGGGAGGCAGCAGUAGGGAAUCUUCCGCAAUGGACGAAAGUCUGACGGAGCAACGCCGCGUGAGUGAUGAAGGCUUUCGGGUCGUAAAACUCUGUUGUUAGGGAAGAACAAGUGCUAGUUGAAUAAGCUGGCACCUUGACGGUA
rnacentral:rRNA from 2 species